rnacentral:rRNA from 1 species
CCUACGGGUGGCUGCCGUGAGGAAUAUUGGUCAAUGGACGAGAGUCUGAACCAGCCAAGUAGCGUGAAGGAUGACUGCCCUAUGGGUUGUAAACUUCUUUUAUAAAGUAAUAAAACGAGGCCCGUGUGCCUUUUUGCAUGUACUUUAUGAAUCAGGAUCGGCUAACUCCGUGCACGCCGCCGCGGUACUACGGAGGAUCCGAGCGUUAUCCGGAUUUAUUGGGUUUAAAGGGAGCGUAGGUGGUUUUUUAAGUCAGUUUUGAAAGUUUGCGGCUCAACCGUAAAAUUGCAAUUGAUACUGGCAGUCUUGAGUACAGUUGAGGUAGGCGGAAUUCGUUGUGUAGCGGUGAAAUGCGUAGAUAUUCGGAGGAACACCGGUGGCGAAGGCGGCCAACUGGGCUUUAACUGACGCUGAGGCUCGAAAGUGUGGGGAGCAAACAGGACUAGAUACCCUUGUAGUC